rnacentral:piRNA from 1 species
UGCGUGCUCACAAAGCCCAGGCUGGCACAU